AGAACGAACGCUGGCGGCAUGCCUAACACAUGCAAGUCGAACGAGACCUUCGGGUCUAGUGGCACACGGGUGCGUAACGCGUGGGAAUCUGCCCUUGGGUUCGGGAUAACAGUUGGAAACGACUGCUAAUACCGGAUAAUGACUUCGGUCCAAAGAUUUAUCGCCCAGGGAUGAGCCCGCGUAGGAUUAGCUAGUUGGCGAGGUAAAGGCUCACCAAGGCGACGAUCCUUAGCUGGUCUGAGAGGAUGAUCAGCCACACUGGGACUGAGACACGGCCCAGACUCCUACGGGAGGCAGCAGUGGGGAAUAUUGGACAAUGGGCGAAAGCCUGAUCCAGCAAUGCCGCGUGAGUGAUGAAGGCCUUAGGUUGUAAAGCUCUUUACCGGGAUGAUAAUGACAGUACCGGAGAAGUAACGCCCCGGCUAACGUCCGCGACCAGCCAGCCGAC
rnacentral:rRNA from 1 species